GGUACCAUAGCCAAGUGGCCUAAGGCAUGGGUCUGCAACACCCUGAUCGUCGGUUCAAAUCCGACUGGUACCUCCA
rnacentral:tRNA from 1 species